rnacentral:lncRNA from 1 species
UUUUUUUGGAGUGUUGGAGGAGAGAGAGCUAGUGGGUUAAUUUCAGUUGAAUCUGGGAAGGGUGUCCAAAACAAUUGUUGGAGCUGGAUUGCAGCAAUGGCGAAUUGGCUUCUAGUUUGGGAAAGAAGACUUGGUAAGGGCUUGGGUUAAUUGGAAAGUAGUGAUGCUCUGUUCGAAAUGGUUAUCAAUGAGUUGAUUGAGUUUGAAACUGAAAUGGGGUUGUUUUGGUGAUCUUAUGAUUAUUGUGUUACAUCUAUUAUAAACUUUGAUUGUUGGUGACCUUGGUAUGUGCUGAACGUGAUGAAAUUAGUAUGAAGUUACUUUGGUUAACAUAACUUUGGAAAGAAAACGAUGUUGAUGAAAUAGUGAAGGGUUUGUUCAAAGCCAUAUGUUUUGUGCAAAUGGAAUGAGUUAAAUUGAUUU